rnacentral:rRNA from 1 species
GGUUGAUCCUGCCAGUAGUCAUAUGCUUGUCUCAAAGAUUAAGCCAUGCAUGUCUAAGUAUAAACAUCUUUAUACAGUGAAACUGCGUACAGCUCAUUAUAUCAGUAAUGAUUUAUUUGAUGGUACCUUACUACAUGGAUAACCGUAGUAAUUCUAGAGCUAAUACAUGCAUAAAGUCCCAACUUUCGAGGAAGGGAUGUAUUUAUUAGAUAAAAAAUCAAUGCGGUCUUCGGGCCGGUUUUGUUGGUGAUUCAUAAUAACUACUCGAAUCGCAUGGCUUCAUGCUGGCGAU